UGUUGAUGAAAUGCUUCGGGGCCUAGA
rnacentral:sRNA from 1 species